rnacentral:lncRNA from 1 species
GGGCGGACGAUGGAACUCCACAUCCUGGAGCACCGGCUGCAAGUUGCCAGCGUCGCCAAGGAGAGUAUCCCGCUGUUCACCUACGGGCCUGAUCAAACUUGCCUUCCUGUUCUCCAAGACCAGGUGCAAGUUCUUCAGUCUGACUGAGACACCAGAGGAUUACACUAUCAUUGUCGAUGAGGAAGGAUUCCUAGAGCUGCCCUCCUCGGAGCACCUGAGUGUGGCGGAUGCCACCUGGCUGGCCCUGAACGUGGUGUCCGGCGGUGGCAGCUUCUCCAGCUCCCAGCCUAUUGGCAUGACCAAGAUCGCCAAGUCAGUCAUCGCCCCACUGGCUGACCAGAACAUAUCCGUGUUCAUGCUGUCCACGUAUCAGACAGACUUCAUCCUGGUGCUCAAGCGGGACCUGCCCUUUGUCACCCACACGUUGUCAUCAGAGUUCACCAUCCUGUGGUCAGUGGCUAGACUGUAGCAGCCGAGAACCUCGGCAUCACCAGUGGCUUCGUGAAGCCCAAGCUGGUCCAGAUGCCGGUCAUCCACCCACUGUCCAGCCCGAGCAACAGGUUCUGUGUCACCAGCCUGGACCCCGACACGCUGCCUGCUGUUGCCACACUCCUCAUGGAUGUCAUGUCCUACUUCAAUGGCAGGUGCCCAUGAUGGGAAGAACUGGAAAUUUUAUCUAAAGAGAGAGGCUGAAGCAUUCCUUAAACCACAGAAGAAAACAGUGAAAGUACAAAAUGACAACAGCCGUCUUCAAAUACUGCUUGUCAGAGGGACAAGAGAGAACAGAGGUGCUGUGCUGCUCCACAAGGCAAAACAAGAGCAAACAAGUCUGUCUGAGUUUCAAGAGGCUGGCCCUGAGGCUGCACUGUGGCAGUCUAGAGAAGAGAACAGAAGAAUAACAGCAGAAGAUACGCAGCCUGUAAUGGACUGAAUAUCUGUGUCCCCCUAAACCCACAUAUUGAAAUCCUUCCCCCAGUGUGAUGCUGUUUGGAAGUGGGGCCUUUGGGAGGUGAUUGGGUCAUAGGGGUGCAGCCCUCAUGGAUGGAUGAAUGCCCUUCUAAGCCCAGGCCAGAGGGCUAGCUUGCUGUUUCUCCUCCAGGUGAGGAUACAACUAGAAGCCAGCAGUCUACAGGCUGGAAGAAGGCCCUCACCAGAACCCAACCCUUGGACUUCAGCCUCCAGAACUGUGAGAAAUACAUACCUGCUGUUUGUAAGACACCAGUCUAUGGAAUUCUGUUACAGUAGCCUGAACUCAGACAUAGCCCUUUUCCAUUUAUAAGGUGGUUUUACCUUAUAUUUUAUGUAAAAGGUCCAUUUUAUUUAUUUUUGAAUUGUUGAUUUUUUUUUAAGAGACACGUGUUUACUAUGUUA